rnacentral:lncRNA from 1 species
GCCAACAUGUAUAAUAUUUAGUCAAUUUAUUGGCCAAGUUUUAAUCUAUCAAUCACCUAUAAUCAUAUUGUCAUGGUAGAAAGAAUUUGCCUUAAGAAAACACUGGGCUUUUGGUUAUCACUAAAUGCUCAACUAAGCCUCUAGAUAAAAAAAAAUACCAAGUCUAUAUAUAAAAUUAUCUCUAUAGGAACAAUUACAUCAAUACAUGAGUCUUAAGUACCAAAGAUCACCAAAAAUGAGAUAAAAAUAUUUUAAAAAACUUGUAUAUCCUUAAGAUAAAUUCUUCUCAAACUUCAACAGCUCAUGUUUUAUGAUCAAAUCACCCAAAUAAAUCCAAAUUUUACAUGAAGUACUGAUGUACUUUUAACAAUGCCUCUGAAUUAUAUGUGUUGUCUUUAAUGCUCUAUAACUUCUUUAUACAAACUUCAAAUACAAAAAUUCCUUCACAAAAGAUAUAGAUCUUAAAAUCAUCCUUGUAGCUACAUCUCUUGAUUUCU